UUUGUUUUGUUUCAAGUGCUAGUUCGUGUAUAUUUAUAAAUAAAUAUGACUGAAAUGAAUAUGAAAGCCAGGGCUCUCGGAAAAGAUGAGAUUGUGUGGUUCCUUGAUUUGAUAUUGAAACACAAAGUCAUUGCAACAAAAGCGACAAUUGCCUCAAAUAAUAAAGAUGAUGCCUGGAAAUCCAUAGCGCAGGAGUUCAGUCGCGUCCUGAGAAACUUUGAGUGAAGAACGCUGCAAGACAGCGUAAUGCUGACAAUGACGUAAGACAAAACAAUCUAAAGGCUGAAGGGGGAAAGUUCCACAUAUCACCUGAUAAAGUCCUUUACCAUGUAGCAGUUAUAUUGGGGGCACAUGUAGUACUACUGUCUUUACGGUUCAGUUUGGUGGUGAUGGUGAUGCAGAGAAUGAUACUUUCACCUGUAUACUUUUUUUGUUUUAUUCUUGCAGCCUGUGUUAAUGGUUUUAUAUAUGUACAUUGUAUUAAGAUUGAUAAAAUUAAUUCAU